GGGGCUGAUUUGGUUUCGACAGGAUUAUGUGGACUUAGAUUGCAAGUCGUAGAAAUACGUUAAAUUUACAAAUAUCUGGAAACAGAAAUGCUUUAGCUUUUGCCUAAUUUAGAGUGCAGAGCGUUCCUUUAAUUUCUUUGUCUACGAGAAUUUACUGGGAUUUAUCUUUAGUAGACUAUAUUAUUUUAUUGUUUAGGUAAAAUAAUGAAUUUAACUAAACUAGCUAUAUAUUGGUUUGUUAAUUAGCUUCUUAUAUAGUGAAAUUUCUUAAUUAACUAAGCUUGUAGUAAUCUAUUUAUCAGUAAUUUUGGACAGGAGUUCGAUUCUCCUCAGCUCCACCA
rnacentral:tmRNA from 1 species